GACGUGGCCCUGGCUCCACCCAGCCCUUCACGACCACAGCUGUGUGAGCCCUGGACCUGGCAGCAAUGGGAAGGGCCCAUCGGCCCCUCCAUGGGGGUCCUGGUUGGGAGUUGCAGGGGCAUGACUCUCUCUGCCUAAUCUCCAAGAAGUCAGCAUUUCUCCCCACGCACCCACACCACAGAAAAGUCCCUGCUGCUCCGUGGGUGGUCUGGGCAGCAUCCUUGCAUCAUUGAGGAGCUUGUUAGAAAUACAAACUCUCAGCCCCCCUCUGAGUUUCUGAAUCAGAGUCUGAUGUUAACAAAGUCCUCAAGGGAGUGGACUGUACUUGCAGGUUCAAGAAGAGGUUGUACAAGACAGUGGUUCUCAGGCCCCACAACGUUUCAGAGUCUCCUGGCGAGUCUACAAAGUGCAGAGGCCUGGCCUCCACCCCAGGUUUCGGUUCAAUUGCAAAGGGAGGGGUCUGGGCAUCAGCCUCUUAAACCAUUCCUAGUGGUUCUAAUACAGCCGAGGUUGAGACCCCCUCUCUGGGGUCAAUGAUUAAUAGAAU